rnacentral:rRNA from 1 species
UGGGGAAUAUUGCACAAUGGGCGCAAGCCUGAUGCAGCCAUGCCGCGUGUAUGAAGAAGGCCUUCGGGUUGUAAAGUACUUUCAGCGGGGAGGAAGGGAGUAAAGUUAAUACCUUUGCUCAUUGACGUUACCCGCAGAAGAAGCACCGGCUAACUCCGUGCCAGCAGCCGCGGUAAUACGGAGGGUGCAAGCGUUAAUCGGAAUUACUGGGCGUAAAGCGCACGCAGGCGGUUUGUUAAGUCAGAUGUGAAAUCCUCGGGCUCAACCUGGGAACUGCAUCUGAUACUGGCAAGCUUGAGUCUCGUAGAGGGGGGUAGAAUUCCAGGUGUAACGGUGAAAUGCGUAGAGAUCUGGAGGAAUACCGGUAGCGAAGGCGGCCCCCUGGACGAAGACUGACGCUCAGGUGCGAAAGCGUGGGGAGCAAACAGG